GCCAGGUGUGGUAGCAUACACCUGUAGUCCACCUAGCUACUUGGGAAGCUGAGGCAGGAGGAUCACCUGAGACCAGGAGUUCUGGGCUACAGUGCACUAUGCCCAUCAGGUGUCCACACUGAGUUCAGCAUCAAUAUGGUGACCUCCUGGGAGUGAGAGCCGCCAGGUUGCCUAAGAAGCGGUGAAUCAGCCCAGGUCAGAAACAGAGGUAAAAACUCUCCUGCUGAUCAGCAGUGGGAUCACGCCUGUGAAUAGCCGCUGUACUUCAGCCUAGGCAACAUAGCUAGUCCUCGUCUCU
rnacentral:SRP_RNA from 1 species